CGGGCUGUGGCGCAGUGGUAGCGCACACGCCUGGGGGGCGUGGGGUCGCUGGUUCAAAUCCAGUCAGCCCGA
rnacentral:tRNA from 2 species